rnacentral:rRNA from 1 species
ACUCCUACGGGAGGCAGCAGUGGGGAAUAUUGCACAAUGGGCGCAAGCCUGAUGCAGCCAUGCCGCGUGUGUGAAGAAGGCCUUCGGGUUGUAAAGCACUUUCAGUCGUGAGGAAGGUGUAGUGUUAAUUAGCACUAUUCAUUUGACGUUAGCGACAGAAGAAGCACCGGCUAACUCCGUGCCAGCAGCCGCGGUAAUACGGAGGGUGCGAGCGUUAAUCGGAAUUACUGGGCGUAAAGCGCAUGCAGGUGGUUUGUUAAGUCAGAUGUGAAAGCCCGGGGCUCAACCUCGGAAU